GCAAAAGCUUAAGUAUGAAAAUGUUUAUAAGGGAGAUAAUAAGAGGUAUUUCAAGUUCUUGAUAUAUGAUCUGCCGUCGAGGAAGAACUGCCUUUCAAAAAGGUUUCCAGUGGUUAUAGAAGACAUCACAGAACAAACCAUUAAGAAGGAAUAACAAAGCCAAAAGGGGACGACAACAACUAAGACAGAUAGCCAGGUCCUUGACGGAAAAGCACAUUGUGACAUAAAGGACAUUAGCUGCUGCUCCUUAUGCUGCCUGGACACAAAGUUCACGGCAGCAUAUUCCAACAGCGCCGAAAAUACAAAGAGCAAGCAAACUGCCAUCCAUAUGUCAAUGGCUUUGACAUAAGACACCUGUCAAG